GGCAGUAUGGCUGAUUAAAGCGGUAAACUGUAAAUUUAUCCAUAGGACCCGAUUCUUACUGUCA
rnacentral:tRNA from 1 species